GCACAGGUUCCAGGUCUGUAUAAGGUAAGAUCUAGAAUAUUUGUAUUAUAGUUGUGAAGAGUAAAUGAGAUCGCAUAUAUAGAGCUCUAGCACAGUGCUUCCUUACGCCUUCAUGUGAGAGAGUGAGUGGGAGAUCAACUUCUGCCGUCAAGGUGUGAGGAGCUCUGCUGACCUGCCUUGCUUGCUGAAACAAGUGAAAACUAUUAAAGAAAACAAAACCCAGUCAUUUAAAGUCUCUGGAAAUCGUCCUAAGAGUAAGCAGAAAAUGAAGGAACAUUAUUCAAGAACAUCUGUGCAAAUUCCAUCUGAAUAGCAGCUUUCUUCCCAGGAGGAUUUGGACAUCAGCAAUUCUCAUUCUGUCCCGAGCUGCCUAUUGCUGAGUCCUGGAGAAGUGCAGUUAAGAGAUGGGGGCCCCUUCUUCUACUCAGCCCCCACUUGUGGAACUUGAUCAGAACUGACUUCAUUUGCAACAGGGAGUGAAGAAGUUCAAACCUGAUUGUACUCUCAAGAACAGUAGAGGGAAAGGAAAAAAGAAAAAGAACAGUGGAGGUUGUGGUAAAGGACGUUUGAGAAGAGAUUCAUGAAACAGGCCGGAUGGUAGGUUUGCUAGUUCGCAGGGGGAGAACCAAUGAAUUAAUUUAGAAAGAGCUUUUCUGGGAUUAGAAAAAAAAUAAAUCACUGGCUGGGUGCACACCUGUUAUUCUAGCUAUUCAGGCAGGAGGAUGGCUUGAACCUAGGAGUUGGAGGUCAGCAUAGGCAACAUAGGGAGACCCUGUCUUAAAUAAAAACAAAAAUAAAACAAAAAAACACUGAUGGCAAAAAUUAUUUCUUCAAAGGAACCAGAAUUUGAUUGUAUUGUUUGUAGACCAAUUUGUGCCCCAGGGCAUUAUUCAAAACAAAAGGGCAAUCAGCCAGCAACUAGUGGAGUUUAACGGCUGGGUGUGGUCAGUAAAUGAGAGGAAGAAAGUCCUAGCAAAAACACUGUGAUCCCAAGGUAACUAACUGUAGGCAUACCGAAGCUGCCUGUUCCAGAGGAAUCACAUUAGAGGCUGAACACUGUAAACAUGGAGAAAUAAACUUCACUAGAAGAAUCUAGCUUUUAGCUGGGCAUGGUGGCAUGCGCCUGUAGUCAUAGCUCCUUAGGUUAUUGAUAUGAGAUCUUUCUAACUGUGGGCAUUUUACAGCUAUAAAUUUCCCUCUAAGCAUGCUUUGGCUGCAUAUCAUGAGUUUUAGUAUGCC
rnacentral:lncRNA from 1 species